rnacentral:rRNA from 1 species
UGGGGAAUAUUGGACAAUGGGCGAAAGCCUGAUCCAGCCAUGCCGCGUGUGUGAAGAAGGUCUUCGGAUUGUAAAGCACUUUAAGUUGGGAGGAAGGGCAGUAAGCUAAUACCUUGCUGUUUUGACGUUACCGACAGAAUAAGCACCGGCAAACUCUGUGCCAGCAGCCGCGGUAAUACAGAGGGUGCAAGCGUUAAUCGGAAUUACUGGGCGUAAAGCGCGCGUAGGUGGUUUGUUAAGUUGGAUGUGAAAGCCCCGGGCUCAACCUGGGAACUGCAUCCAAAACUGGCAGGCUAGAGUACGGUAGAGGGUGGUGGAAUUUCCUGUGUAGCGGUGAAAUGCGUAGAUAUAGGAAGGAACACCAGUGGCGAAGGCGACCACCUGGACUGAUACUGACACUGAGGUGCGAAAGCGUGGGGAGCAAACA